CAUUGGAGGAUAUUGACCAGUUGUGACCACCAAACAUUGGCAGAUGCCCUCCAGCUGAGAACCACUGCAUUAAACCAAGACCUGAGCGCCGAGUAAGACUUAGGUCAAUGGAAGCAGCGUCCUAUGCAGAGGAAACAGCCUGUGCGAAGUCCCUGAGGUGGGAAGAACUCGAAUCAUUGGAAGAAGAGAAGGGAGAGAUGAACAGGUGAUCAAGAGGCGUUCGUGGCACACCAGCACCAAGCUGAGACUCUCCCGUCCAGAGAAGGAGACUCAGAUCCAUUCUGCAGAUAUUUCCAGAAAGAAGAGCAAGUGAAGGUCCUCUUCCAGAUACUGGGUUCAACGUGCGUAUUCGAGUUGCUUCCAUAUCAUGAACUUCCUUCCAUUAAACGCAAGCUGCU